rnacentral:rRNA from 1 species
AUGAAGAAGUGCGCGUCGGAGCUGGAGCUGGAGGCCUUCAUCCGCGGGCGGGGGCUCGCCGCCGAGCAGAAGCCCGGCAGCGCCGCCGCGGGCGCGAAUGGUCCCUACGGCCUCUUCUCCGCCGCCGACCUCUCCAGCGCCUUCGGCUUCGCCGACUCGCAGGCCCUCAAUGGAACCAUUCAGAAUCACCUGUGGCCUCAGUCCCCGAACCUCGGCGCACGGCAUCCCGCAGUCUCCACGACAAUCGAGUCGCAGUCGUCAUUCUAUGCAGCAGCGAGUCCCACGUCGGCCACCAAUCUGAGUAUCAAAGAGAGCCAAGCAUUCGGAGGCACGAGCGGCUCGGACUCCGACAGCGAGUCGAUGUUCGACGACGGUGGCUUGUGCGACAACGGCACGAACCCAACGGACGUUAAGAGGAUGAGACGGAUGGUGUCGAACCGGGAGUCGGCGCGGCGGUCGAGGAAGAGGAAGCAAGCUCACUUGGUUGAGCUGGAGACGCAGGUGGAUCAGCUCCGGGGUGACAACGCGUCGAUCUUCAAGCAGCUGACGGACGCGAACCAGCAGUUCACGACGGCGGUGACGGACAACCGGAUCCUCAAGUCGGACGUGGAGGCGCUGCGGGUGAAGGUGAAGCUGGCGGAGGACAUGGUGGCGCGCGGCGCGAUGUCGUGCGGGCUGGGCCACCUGGGGCUGUCCCCGGCGGCGCUGAACCCGUGCCGCGUCCCGGACGUGCUGGCCGGUCUGGACUUCCUCCCCGGCGGCGCCGACGACGCCUGCUUCGGCAGCCUGUCCCCGGCUGAGCAGGUGCAGAGCUCGCCGAUGCAGAGCAUGGCCAGCCUCGAGAGCCUCGAGCACAGCAGCCGGAUGCAGCACGGCGGCGGCGCCGACGCCGUCGACGUCUGGGGCUGGGACUCCAGCUCCAACGGCGCCAUGUCCAAGUGA